UACGGAGGGUGCAAACGUUGCUCGGAAUCAUUGGGCGUGAAGCGCACGUAGGCGGUUCGGUAUGUCGGGUGUGAAAGCCCCGGGCUUAACCCGGGAAGUGCAUCCGAAACUGGCGGGCUUGAGUACGGAAGAGGGUCUCGGAAUUCCCGGUGUAGAGGUGAAAUUGGUAGAUGUCGGGAGGAACACCAGUGGCGAAGGCGGAGACCUGGGCCGAUACUGGCGCUGAGGUGCGAAAGCGUGGGGAGCAAACAGG
rnacentral:rRNA from 1 species